rnacentral:tRNA from 1 species
GGGGAUAUAGCUCAGUUGGUAAGAGUGCUUGCCUAGUAUCCAUAAGGCCCUGGGUUCAGUUCCCAGCACCACCA